GGCACAUCUAAAAGUUGCACGACUGCGGCCCUCGAGGACUGGAGUUUGACACCCCUGCCUUACACUUUGAAGCAUCAUCAAGAUGCACCCCGAUCUAACAGCUCCUGGACCAGAUCCACAUGACCUUCCUUGGCAGCCAGAUGCAGAGCAUUCAGACCAUUCUGGGAAUAAAAGAAAGAAAGAUCAGAGCUUGACACAGUGUGAACAGCUGCUUAUCAACGUCAGAUUACAUGUGGAACCUUGUAAUGCUGCAGAGGACCAGAGCGUUUACUGGGAAUGGAGCUAUAAAUAGUGGAGUGUGUUUGUGAUUCUGUGUGUGCAGAUACACACACAGUUACGCACAAACUAUAAUAUCUGAACUAAAAUGUUAUUGCAGUGGCACUGAUCUGUGACAUGUAGAGCUUUAAACAAAGAAUGAAAUGGGCACAUCCUAUUGAUAUGAACCUUGUAGUAGUUUUUAAGACCUCUAUUAAUAUCUUCAGUGUACACAGCAGUGUCAUGUGAUGUUGGAGCAGCUCACAAAUGACACAAACACAAGAAUGAUACUAAGGAUAAGAAAAAGGGAGUGUGAUUAAAAAAAGUGUGAUUGUGAUGUGUGAUACAACAUUAAUGUCACUUCU